AGAUGUGAUAGAACGUUUAUAACACGAUUCAGAGAUGCAGAAUAUUCCUCUCCUGUUCAGAUCACAGCAGCCAUUCACUUCGAAAACUUACCAUGGUUCUAGAGGAGCAGACAGUGAUUACAGAGUGUGCAGAAAAUGACUGAGGUGGUGACGCAUGCAAGCUGCUAGGCCUGUUCUCGUUAAAUAAUUGAUGACGGAUACGAGCACUACAGCAGUGGAGUCUGCCUAACGUAGGAUCGUCAGCUAAAAAUCAGACUUGCAGGAGAACAUGUGGCGGCUUCGAAACAAAGAAGGAUAACAUUUUACCACACAAGAAGCAAGGGACAAUCUGCAACCGGAAAACAGACAAAUUACAACCGGACAAGCUGGUCAUCCAAUGUAUCAACCAUUUUUAAGAUAUAUUCAUGAGUAAUUUCACACCGUGAGCAGGUAAUUCAUGUUUCCCAUUUCCAUUUUUUUUUUAUUUGCUUUUGAUAAUACAACUCAAGACACCACAGCAGGAAAUUAGGUGAUGAACUUUAAUCUACCAAUAUCAAAGUUUAUAGAAAUUGUUUAGAGCAGAGUUAGUGCAGUUUAAUUAUCACUAUCAAAAUUGUAUUAUGCUAUAAUACACUUAUGCUAUUUUAUAUACAUUGGUAAAAAAAAGUACUGUAUAACUAAUAAAAAAAGUGUUUUAUAUUUAUUUUUUAAAUCUCUCUCUAUACAUAGAGAUAGAUAGCUUAUUCAUG